CCUCCUCCAGGCCCUCCUCAACAUCACCGGCGACGACGGCAUGGGGAAGACGACGGCGGCAGCUGCGGAAGUCAACCCCAACGAAGGCGGAUCCUCCUCAACAUCCCAGGCUCCUCCUCCUUCAGGAUCUAAUUCUUGAUUCUUGCGUCGGUCUGAACUGUGCGAUUUACGUUUCGUCAGAGGUCUGUUCUUGGGAUUCUGGUGCUGUUGAUCUCAUCAAGGGCCUCAUCUGCUUUCUUUCAUCUUGUGAAGGUGAUA